rnacentral:rRNA from 1 species
CUACGGGUGGCACCAGUGGGGAAUAUUGGACAAUGGGGGAAACCCUGAUGCAGCAACGCCGCGUGGAGGAUGACGCAUUUCGGUGUGUAAACUCCUUUUAUAUGUCAAGAAAAUGACGGUAGCAUAUGAAUAAGCACCGGCUAACUCCGUGCCAGCAGCCGCGGUAAUACGGAGGGUGCAAGCGUUACUCGGAAUCACUGGGCGUAAAGGACGCGUAGGCGGGUUGGAAAGUCAGGUGUGAAAUCCUACAGCUUAACUGUAGAACUGCACUUGAAACUUCUAAUCUAGAGUAUGGGAGGGGGAGAUGGAAUUAGUGGUGUAGGGGUAAAAUCCGUAGAUAUCACUAGGAAUACCUAAAGCGAAGGCGAUCUCCUGGAACAUUACUGACGCUAAGGCGUGAAAGCGUGGGGAGCAAACAGGAUUAGAUACCCGAGUAGUC